rnacentral:tRNA from 1 species
GCCCUGAUGGCGGAACCGGUAGACGCGGCGGAUUCAAAAUCCGCUUCUGAAGAGAGUGGGAGUUCAAGUCUCCCUCAGGGCA